rnacentral:lncRNA from 1 species
CCAUAUCAUUCUUUACUUCCACCAAAGAAGACAGCUACUUCUACAAUUUGUUUCACAAUAGUGAACAAACUGACAAAAGUUACACAGUCUAUGCGGACGAUAACACGCACUGUUGCAUAAUCCUCUAAAGAAACAAUAGGAACAAUACGAGCACACCCUUAGUCCUCCUGCAGUUAGAUCUGUCAUUGCAGCAUCGUAGUCUCCAACCAUACAGGAUCCAUAUCUGAUACAUAAAAACACAGACAAAAGAAGCGCGAUACUUUUCAUUUUUACUAUUUCAAUGUCAGUGCUUGUAACUGAUGCAAGUGA